ensembl:antisense Gm15912 predicted gene 15912
AGGAGCGCAGCGCACUGACACCCGAGGCAGCCACUGCCUUACAAGGCUGCCACAGGCACAGCCAGCCUAUGGACGCCGCUCGACCCAGGAGACGCUUGCCACGGGAUCUCCACCCCGCUGACUCUGUGGUGAGGUCAGGGUCGCACUGGUGGCUCUGAAGAAGAUUAUGGGGUUAGCAAGGAGGCAAUGGGGCUGGAAGAUUUGGUUCAAUAGACUCUUCAGUCCUCCGGGUUCUGUCUCAGACUCUAACCAAGUCACCCACUGAGGUCUUGGCUUGGCCACUUGCCUUAUGUCCCACAAAGCCCCAAGUCCUGCUGUGAUGGUUUGUAUAUGCUUGGCCCAAGAAGUGGCACUAUUUGGAGGUGUGGCCUUGUUGGAGUAGGUGUGACCUGGUUGGAGUAGGUGUGUCACUGUGGGCAUGGACUUAAGACCCUCACCCUAGCUGCCUGGAAGUGAGUAGCAGCCUUCAGAUGAAGAUGUAGAACUCUCAGCUCCUCUUGCACCAUGCCUGCCUGGAUGCUGCCAUGCUCCCACCUUGAUGAUAAUGGACUGAGCCUCAGAACCUGUAAACCAACCCC